UACGUAGGGGACAAGCGUUGUCCGGAUUUACUGGGCAUAAAGGGCACGCAGGCGGUUUUUUAAGUCAGAUGUGAAAGGUACCGGCUCAACCGGUGACAUGCGUUUGAAACUGGAGAACUUGAGUACUGGAGAGGUAAGUGGAAUUCCUAGUGUAGCGGUGGAAUGCGUAGAUAUUAGGAGGAACACCGGUGGCGAAGGCGGCUUGCUGGACAAAUACUGACGCUGAGGUGCGAAAGCGUGGGGAGCAAAC
rnacentral:rRNA from 2 species